ensembl:lncRNA
AGAACUGAUGGAAGUAUGAUGUUCACCUCUUACGCUUCCGUUUCGAAGAAACUCAGUGCUAGAGUGAAUUCAGAAUAUUGCUAUUUGGACUACUCAAAACAGAGUUCUUAAACUUCAAUAGCAUCUUAUUCAAUAUUCUGCAGUUCCUUUCUGCUUACAGUAUUCUUCAUGUAUGGGGACUUUUUUUUUAAGAAAAAUGUGAUGUUGCAGGUUACUGUAACUGUACUUUUCUUCAGAACAGACCACCUUCCUUCCUCCCUGUGCCACCUCAGCACAUCCAGCCUCUGCCUGCAGAGAGCAAGGCGUAGUGAAAGCUGUGCUGUCACGAGGCAGAGGAGGACAUGUCUGGUUUUUCAAAGGCUGAAGGAGCACUCUGUUGUCAGAACACAUUCCUCUUGGAAGAUGACAGCAGUGAGUUUGUGCAGGGGUAGGUGUGUCUUCUUUAAUCAAACUUCAUAGUGGCCAUGGAAACCAUGAGUAAAAGGGAAAGUCAGUGUGCGUGCGUACUCGAACUGUCCUACAGCCACAUGCUGUCUAAUUCAUCCUCUGCCGAUCUCUGAAAUGUUUUGGGCUGUGAUUUUUAUGGCCGCAGUCUGGCUGCUUAGCUUGAACGUUGCUUUAACAAAUGUUGCUUUAAACGUGCUAUCUUUCAUCUGUGAUCCAGCAAUACUAACUUCUGGUAACACAUGUCAUAUCUGAGAGACCACUUCAGCUGUUCCUAAAGUUACUGUUCUCUUUCUGUCACGUGGAGGGAAAGCGUUUUGUUCUCAGAUACUGUUAACCAUGAAUCAUUUCCAGAGUAAGUUAAAUUUUGAAGUGAUUCCCUCUUUGGGGGGGGGUCAGUGCUAACGAGAGCUCUAGUCUGUCACUUCUGGACUCUUCAGUUCUUUUUGUUUAGGGCUCUGUGGUAAUGAACUCAUACAGUUGUACAGGAGAGUAUCCUGGUGUGGGUUCUGUGCGGUGGAUUUACUUUCUGUCUUUCUACUCAUGCAUGCAUCUAGGAAUAAAAUAGUGAAGACGAAGCAGGAGGUGCUUGUGGGUGAACAGCCUACAGAAGCCACAGAAAGCCGAGUAACAGGUUUGCUUACAGCUUCGUAAACCUCUGUGCCAAAGCGCUGUGUUGUGCAGUGUUUGGGUUUAACCGGGUUUUGUACUUAGUAUGCAUCACAGCAACAGAGUUGUAUCUAAGAGUUGCACACAGGUUUUAGAGUGUAUGUAAUGCGUUUUAGCAAGCCACUGAAAUUCUCUGAAUUUGGCCUGGACAUCAUAACUAAAGGAAAAGCUUUUUUUUUCCAAUAACUAUGGUGCACUUUACAAAAUAAAGGCAUUAUUAAAAUGAAAUUAUACUUUACUAUUGACACUUUAGUUCCCAUCGUGAUUACCCAGGCUGGAAUUUUUCAAGUAGGGAUGGGAUAACAGGUGAGAAAAGCAUUCUGCUUCUCUUCUACAGCACAUAGGGAUGGUGAAUAAGGAAAUGUUUCUCCUGUAUUAUCAUACUUGGAGCUGCUUUCAGGCACAGGCUAACUCCUCCUCUGUUUGCAAGAAAAGUGCUUAUGUUAUUUCUGUAGUGAUGUUCAGUGUGCUGUUAGGACAGGAGGUUGGUGGGGUUGAUGCUGUGGCUGUGUUGUUUUGUUUCCACGGCACUUUGCGUGGGAAUAUCUUCUGUUGCAGUGAAAAGGUCUUGGGGUUGUGUUUCUGCUUACUGUUGUAAGCUAAACUACCUGCUAAGCCUCAAGCUAACAAGGCAAAGGACAGCAGAGCAGAAAUGUUCUUAAGUUAGUUCAGGAUUGUCUGUGAUAGGCAUCAAAGUGAUAAUUUAUCCAGAUUUGCAAAAGCUUUGGCCACAUCACUGGGGCACGGGGCCAAGCGUCCCCUCUGCCUGCCCGGCAUUGGGCAGCUUAGGCUUUGACUGUAAAUGGUGAGCACCAGCAGAUGGCUAAAACCUACGUGAGCACACUGAGGGAGUGUGGGAGUCGUGCUGCUUUAACUUAGGUAACAAAUCUAAUUAACGCCAGGUCUUAAAUACCUAAGACCCAUGUCAGUAUAUGCUGCUAUCCUAUUGACUUCACAGUAGGAUCUAGAACUCCAGAGCAACUCAGAACUGGUGGAGUCAGCCCCUCCAGGAUGUGUAUGCAUUCGGUUGUGGUUUAUAUGCAUUAAAAGGGACUAAACAGACCAAUUCGUCUUCUGUGAGAUGGUUGUUGUGAUUGAGACUAAGAGCUACUUAGGUACAUUCCUUGAAGUGCAUUAAAAAGUUCCACUGAUGGCUGGAUCCUAAAGCUUCCCUGCUUCCCUACAAACACUGAUCUCUUGGCUAGGAUGAAUACGUACAGGCAUUUUAUAUUCCUGUAGCUGCUUUUAAUGUUAUUUGGAAGCAGUUUGUAAUAGCAGAAGUAUCGUGUCACCUGUGGUGGAGCAGCCCGUUGGCGACCACCGCCCUCCGUAUUGCAGGGAGCCCGGUGCAGGAGCCUGGAGAAGGGCAGAGUCACGUACCCUGCGGCUGAUUCAUCAACUCCUGCUCCUCUUCCCUAAAAGUGAAAGGAUUAGUUAAGAUGAAGCUAGAACGCGUGUAUCUGCUUCCUCUGUCGUUCCCUUUGUAGCACUUGUGCAAUCUGAGCCAUUCAUAAGACAGAGCAGCGCUGACUCUAUGCGCGAGGAUACACAUCAAGGCCACAGACUUGUUGCAGACUACUCUAAUGACUACGGCCAGAGCGCGGUGGGGCGGGCAACGAAUAACUGAUGGCGUGCAGCGUGGGGCGGGGGUGUGUGCGUGCAGGGGCGGCCUCGGUGGUGGACGCAGGCAGAGACGUCGUGGAUGCGCUGCAGGAGCACACUUUGGUGACAGGCGAGGAACGAGUGCGUGGCGCUGCUGCCCGUGGCCGGCCGCAGUGCGGCUUCCUCCUGCCCUGACCUGCACCGACCGCGCUGCGCCUCUGGAACUGCCAACAGUGGAACCGCUCACAGCGGCCGCUCUUCACAGCAAAGCACAUUCGUUCAUGGAUCCGCUUGGCUCACCGUGGCCUUUUCAACAGACUGGACUCGUUCGGUGUCACGCAGUGGUGGGCGGUCUGCUCCCCACGUGCUGUUUGUGGGGCAGAAUGGGUAAGGGUGUACUUGAGGUUAUGUCACCGUGUACAUCUCGGUAAGCGUAGUCGUAAGACAUGGGGAUAUUUAACAAGGAAAGUGCCUUGAUGCUGAACUGAACACUUAGUGAAUGUAAUGUUAAAUAGAUUUUAUUAUGUACCAUAUGGGGUUACGGCUGCCUGAGCUACUGCUGAUGUGUAACCUCUGCCAGCUUUAAGCGCAUGCUGCGGCAGCCGGCUGAGCUGUGUGCGCUGCGUGCGCUGUCUGUACCGACGUGUUCUCACAGCGCUACGCGACCUUACUUCUUCUGCACGCUGCAUGUUUAUUGUCAUAGAGACUCUGCUUUCUACAAUUUACUUUUUACUGUAACGUUUGAAUGUCUUUGUUACCCAGCUGAGCCUGAACGUUGCAUUUGUCUACUACAUAAUAUUAAAAAAAA